UACGAAGGGGGCUAGCGUUGUUCGGAAUUACUGGGCGUAAAGCGCGUGUAGGCGGGUCUUUAAGUCAGGGGUGAAAUGCCAGGGCUCAACCUUGGAACUGCCUUUGAUACUGGAGAUCUUGAGUCCGGGAGAGGUGAGUGGAACUGCGAGUGUAGAGGUGAAAUUCGUAGAUAUUCGCAAGAACACCAGUGGCGAAGGCGGCUCACUGGCCCGGUACUGACGCUGAGAUGCGAAAGCGUGGGGAGCAAACAGG
rnacentral:rRNA from 1 species